rnacentral:rRNA from 1 species
CACGUAGGAGGCAAACGUUAUCCGGAUUUACUGGGCGUAAAGCGUGCGUAGGCGGCUUUUUAAGUCGGAUGUGAAAUCCCUGAGCUUAACCGGGGAAGUGCAUCUGAAACUGCUUGGCUUGAGUACGGGAGAGGGAGGCGGAAUUCCCAGUGUAGAGGUGAAAUUCGUAGAUAUUGGGAGGAACACCGGUGGCGAAAGCGGCCUCCUGGACCGAUACUGACGCUGAGACGCGAGAGCGUGGGGAGCAAACAGG